rnacentral:rRNA from 1 species
GAUCCUGGCUCAGAUUGAACGCUGGCGGCAGGCCUAACACAUGCAAGUCGAGCGGUAGAGAGAAGCUUGCUUCUCUUGAGAGCGGCGGACGGGUGAGUAAUGCCUAGGAAUCUGCCUGGUAGUGGGGGAUAACGUUCGGAAACGGACGCUAAUACCGCAUACGUCCUACGGGAGAAAGCAGGGGACCUUCGGGCCUUGCGCUAUCAGAUGAGCCUAGGUCGGAUUAGCUAGUUGGUGGGGUAAUGGCUCACCAAGGCGACGAUCCGUAACUGGUCUGAGAGGAUGAUCAGUCACAGUGGAACUGAGACUCGGUCCAGACUCCUACGGGAGGCAGCAGUGGGGAAUAUUGGACAAUGGGCGAAAGCCUGAUCCAGCCAUGCCGCGUGUGUGAAGAAGGUCUUCGGAUUGUAAAGCACUUUAAGUUGGGAGGAAGGGUUGUAGAUUAAUACUCUCCAAUUUUGACGUUACCGACAGAAUAAGCAGAGGCUAACUCUGAGCCAGCAGCCGCGGUAAUACAGAGGGUGCAAGCGUUAAUCGGAAUUACUGGGCGUAAAGGUAGGUGGUUAGUUAAGUUGGAUGUGAAAUCCCCGGGCUCAACCUGGGAACUGCAUUCAAAACUGACUGACUAGAGUAUGGUAGAGGGUGGUGGAAUAUCCUGUGUAGCGGUGAAAUGCGUAGAUAUAGGAAGGAACACCAGUGGCGAUGGCGACCACCUGGACUGAUACUGACACUGAGGUGCGAAAGCGUGGGGAGCAAACAGGAUUAGAU